UACGUAGGGGGCAAGCGUUUGUCCGGAUUUAUUGGGCGUAAAGAGCGUGUAGGCGGCUUGGUAGGUCUUGCGUCAAAACCUGAGGCUCAACCUCAGUUCGCGUGGGAAACCAUCUAGCUAGAGUCCGGAAGAGGAGAACGGAAUUCCCAGUGUAGCGGUGAAAUGCGCAGAUAUCAGGAAGAACACCCGUGGCGAAGGCGGCUCUCUGGGACGGUACUGACGCUGAGACGCGAAAGCGUGGGGAGCGAACAGG
rnacentral:rRNA from 1 species